rnacentral:rRNA from 1 species
UACGUAGGGACCAAGCGUUGUUCGGAUUUACUGGGCGUAAAGGGCGCGUAGGCGGCAAUUCAAGUCAGCUGUGAAAUCUCCGGGCUUAACUCGGAACGGUCAGCUGAUACUGCUUUGCUAGAGUGCAGAAGGGGCAAUCGGAAUUCUUGGUGUAGCGGUGAAAUGCGUAGAUAUCAAGAGGAACACCGGAGGUGAAGACGGGUUGCUGGGCUGACACUGACGCUGAGGCGCGAAAGCGUGGGGAGCAAACAGG